AAGUCGUAACAAGGUUUCCGUAGGUGAACCUGCGGAAGGAUCAUUAAAGAUUCGGGUCGCGAGAUCCAUCUUUUCUCCAGCUGUGCGCUUCGGCUGCACGCUGUUGAAAUCCAACCUUCACACCUGUGAACCUCUCGGUGGCGCUCUGCGCUUCCGCUUUACAUGUAACAACUUAAGUUUAGAAUGUUUUAAUACUAUAAAGUAACAACUCUCAACAACGGAUCUCUUGGCUCUC
rnacentral:misc_RNA from 1 species